rnacentral:tRNA from 1 species
ACCUGGGUGGCUCAGUGGUUGAGCUUCUGACUUCAGCUCAGGUCGUGCUCCUGGGGUCCAGGGAUCAAGUCCCGCAUCAGGUU